UAACGUUUCAAGAUGGCGGAGCGAAUUGCAUGGUUAUUGUUUCUACUCGAUGGAUUCGCAGAUACUUCGGAAAUAGAUCAGAUUGGGAUUAAUAACUUUAUUGCAUACGAUCAUUUACAUGUAUUACCUGGUGUGUGUUGCCAGUAAUGGUUGAAGAUAUGCCAAACAAAUUGUGCCUCUCUAUACAGACAGAUUUCAGGUCUCAAUUUCAACUUCAAAGGUCAACAUAUCACUGAUAUCAGGAAUUCUGUGAAACUGUGGCACCAUGUAUGGUACGUGAGCGCACAAUGUCUGUUGGAAAAAGGAUAUUGGAAUAAGCAAAGGGACUCAACAUUACACAGUCAUUUCAACAUGUAGAGUCUUGUCAGCAAAGAUGGAGCAGUACAUCAGAUUUCCAGAAUCUCGUCAUGAGCUGAAGAUCAUUGCCUAUGGAUUUCAUGAAUGAUGUAAAAUGAUUUGACUGUUGAUGGAACCCACAGUGCAUGUCCUGCUUCAACAUCUGAGCAUAGGUCCUUGUUUAUCAGCAGUUUAGUUCUUCAAGCAGUCUGUGACAGUAACUUGAAAUG